AAGGAACAGAGCUUUUCAUCUCUUCCUGGGGGUAGAUGGUGAAGGAACAGAGCUUUUUAUCUCUUCCUAGGGGUAGAUGGUGAAGGAACAGAGCUUUUCAUCUCUUCCUGGGGGUAGAUGGUGAAGGAACAGAGCUUUUUAUCUCUUCCUAGGGGUAGAUGGUGAAGGAACAGAGCUUUUCAUCUCUUCCUGGGGGUAGAUGGUGAAGGAACAGAGCUUUUCAUCUCUUCCUGGGGGUAGAUGAUGAAGGAACAGAGCUUUUUAUCUCUUCCUGGGGGUAGAUGGUGAAGGAACAGAGCUUUUCAUCUCUUCCUGGGGGUAGAUGAUGAAGGAACAGAGUUUUUCAACUCUUCCUGGGGGUAGAUGAUGUUUGAAUAACCCUUAAUUCUCUAAUCUAGUGUCUUUAUAAAGUCAUGGUGAAUGGUGUCCAUCUUUUAAACAAAACACGGGCAUUUCUCAAUGUCAAUAACUAUACCGGUAUAUCCUUUAGACGCCCUAAUAGAGGAUCAGUUGGGUUCACGACAAAACACACCUUCAGUCUGUUGUGGUCUGCAUUUGGCUCCUGGGGGGCUGCCAUUGCUGUGUAGGGGGAGUAGUCAGGAGUCUAGUUAGUAGUCAGUAGUCUAGUUAGGAGUCAGGAGUCUAGUUAGGAGUCAGUAGUCUGGUUAGUAGUCUAGUUAGGAGUCAGUAGCCUAGUUAGGAGUCUAGUCAGUCAGUAGUCUAGUUAGUCAGUAGGUCUAGUUAGUAGUCAGUAGGUCUAGUUAGUAGUCAGUAGUCUGUUUAGUAGUCAGUAUUCUAGUCAAUGAUCUAGUUAGUAGUCUAGUUAGUAUUCAGUAAUCUAGUCAAUGAUCUAGUCAGUAGUCUAGUCAGUCAGUAGCCUAGUUAGGGGUCUAGUCAGUCAGUAGUCUAGUUAGUCAGUAGGUCUAGUUAGUAGUCAGUAGGUCUAGUUAGUAGUCAGUAGUCUGCUUAGUAGUCAGUAGUCUAGUCAAUGAUCUAGUUAGUAGUCUAGUUAGUAUUCAGUAAUCUAGUCAAUGAUCUAGUCAGUAGUCUAGUCAGUCAGUAGCCUAGUUAGGGGUCUAGUCAGUCAGUAGUCUAGUUAGUCAGUAGGUCUAGUUAGUAGUCAGUAGUCUGGUUAGUAGUCAGUAGUCUAGUCAAUGAUCUAGUUAGUAGUCUAGUUAGUAUUCAGUAAUCUAGUCAAUGAUCUAGUCAGUAGUCUAGUUAGUAGUCAGUAAUCUAGUCAGUAGUCUCAUUAGUAGUCAGUAAUCUAGUCAGUAGUUUAGUUAGUAGUCAAUGAUCUAGUCAGUAGUCUAGUCAAUGAUCUAGUCAGUAGUCUAGUUAGUAGUCAGUAAUCUAGUCAGUAGUCUAGUUAGUAGUCAAUAAUCUAGUCAGUAGUCUAGUCUAGUUAGUAGUCAGUAGUCUAGUUUGUAGUCAGUAGUCUAGUUAGUAGUCAAUAGUCUAGUUAGUAGUCAGUAGUCUAGUUAGUAGUCAGUAGUCUAGUUUGUAGUCAGUAGUCUAGUUUGUAGUCAGUAGUCUAGUUAGUAGUCAAUAGUCUAGUUUGUAGUCAGUAGUCUAGUUUGUAGUCAGUAGUCUAGUUUGUAGUCAGUAGUCUAGUUUGUAGUCUAGUCUAGUCAGUAGUCUAGUCUAGUUCGUAGUCAGUAGUCUAGUUUGUAGUCAGUAGUCUAGUUAGUAGUCAAUAGUCUAGUUCGUAGUCAGUAGUCAGUAGUCUAGUUUGUAGUCAGUAGUCUAGUUUGUAGUCAGUAGUCUAGUUUGUAGUCAGUAGUCUAGUUUGUAGUCAGUAGUCUAGUUUGUAGUCAGUAGUCUAGUUUGUAGUCUAGUCAGUAGUCUAGUUAGUCAUUAUACAACGGGUGGGUCUAAUCCUGGAUGCUGACUGGUUAAACCCGCAUUCCAGCUGUUGUCUAUUCCACAAAGUACCACCAGCUAAAUCUAAGAAGUCAAAAUGCCUAUUUACUCCCUUCCAUCUGACUGUGCAAUCCACUGUCUAAUCAGCCCAGCCAGGCAAUUUAUAAAAAGCAUCUAGACAUUAUAUGACAUUUCUUUUAGUCUAACGUUUAGUUUUCAACAGCGGUGAUUUGUAUAAACCUUGCUGUGUGUCUCUCUGACAUUUGCAACAUUGUUUCAAUAUUCAAAUUCCCUUUCCAGCUGUCGCAUAGUAAUGAACGAGUCGGGAUGAGAUGGGCGGGCAGCGUUUCACAGCCAGUCGAAAUCAUGAAUCAGCAUAAUUUUUUUAAAUGGAUAUAUACAAAGAACUAUCAAUAGAAAACAGGUAAAACGAAGUGAUUGUGUUCGAUGUGAUGUUGGCGACUGUAGCUCCUCUGAACGACCGUGUCCUGACGAGCAGGCACAUUUUCUACGCCAGGUGAAACCGGG
ensembl:lncRNA